rnacentral:rRNA from 1 species
GAUGAACGCUCGCUACAGGCUUAACACAUGCAAGUCGCGGGGCAGCAUGGGGGUUGCUUGCACUCCCCGAUGGCGACCGGCGCACGGGUGAGUAACGCGUAUCCAACCUGCCCUUCACCACGGGAUAACCCGGCGAAAGUCGGACUAAUACCGUAUGUUGUCCAUUGACGGCAUCCGAUUUGGACGAAAGGCUUGGCGGUGAGGGAUGGGGAUGCGUCCGAUUAGCCAGACGGCGGGGUAACGGCCCACCGUGGCUACGAUCGGUAGGGGUUCUGAGAGGAAGGUCCCCCACACUGGAACUGAGACACGGUCCAGACUCCUACGGGAGGCAGCAGUGAGGAAUAUUGGUCAAUGGGCGUAAGCCUGAACCAGCCAAGUAGCGUGCAGGAGGACGGCCCUAUGGGUUGUAAACUGCUUUUAUGCGGGGAUAAAGUGGCCCACGUGUGGGCUUUUGCAGGUACCGCAUGAAUAAGGACCGGCUAAUUCCGUG